UACGAAGGGGGCUAGCGUUGCUCGGAAUUACUGGGCGUAAAGCGCACGUAGGCGGCUUUGUAAGUUAGAGGUGAAAGCCCGGGGCUCAACCCCGGAAUUGCCUUUAAGACUGCAUCGCUUGAAUCCAGGAGAGGUGAGUGGAAUUCCGAGUGUAGAGGUGAAAUUCGUAGAUAUUCGGAAGAACACCAGUGGCGAAGGCGGCUCACUGGACUGGUAUUGACGCUGAGGUGCGAAAGCGUGGGGAGCAAACAGG
rnacentral:rRNA from 1 species